rnacentral:rRNA from 1 species
GAUGAACGCUAGCUACAGGCUUAACACAUGCAAGUCGAGGGGAAACGCCAUUGAAGCUUGCUUCGAUGGUCGUCGACCGGCGCACGGGUGAGUAACGCGUAUCCAACCUGCCUCUGACCAAGGGAUAACCCGUCGAAAGUCGGCCUAAUACCUUAUGCAGUCGUCGGAAGUCAUCUGAUGACGACGAAAGAUUUCAUCGGUGAGAGAUGGGGAUGCGUCUGAUUAGCUUGUUGGCGGGGUAACGGCCCACCAAGGCAACGAUCAGUAGGGGUUCUGAGAGGAAGGUCCCCCACAUUGGAACUGAGACACGGUCCAAACUCCUACGGGAGGCAGCAGUGAGGAAUAUUGGUCAAUGGGCGAGAGCCUGAACCAGCCAAGUAGCGUGCAGGAGGACGGCCCUAUGGGUGGUAAACUGCUUUUAUGCGGGGAUAAAGUGAGGGACGUGUCCUUCAUUGCAGGUACCGCAUGAAUAAGGACCGGCUAAUUCCGUG